UUUUUUCUUUUUUUACUAGUUUUUAUACUAUGAGGAAGUAGCUAGUCCCGCUUUUCACCAAAUUAGAAAUAUUUGGAAAAAAAGGAAGAGAAGAAGAUAUUAGAAUUUAUGUGGGCGAGACUUAAGUAUUAUAAUUGCUGGAAGUCUUGCCACAUGUAAAUCUGGUAUCUCUCUUCUUUUCCUUUUUUUUUCUAGUUUUUAGUCUACGAGGAUUUUACGACGAUUUUUGUUACGAGGUGUUUACGACGAAUUCAUCCUACGUGGAAUUAAAGAGUGCCUCCUUCGUCAUUUACUUUACGGGGUAUUUACGUCUAUUUACCUUACGAGGUCUUUACGACGAUUCCGUCCUACGUGGAAUUAACGGGUUUCGCUUUCUUUAUUUUUUUUAGUUUUGUCGUUAUUUCCACGUAACCUAACGAGUUCUUUACGACGAUUCUGUCCUACGUGGAAUAAACGAGGAUUACGUCGUACAUUCGACGUUAACUUACGAGGAAUUAACG
rnacentral:lncRNA from 1 species